GGUGAGUAACACGUGAGUAACCUGCCCUUGACUCUGGGAUAAGCGCUAGAAAUGGCGUCUAAUACCGGAUACGAGCUUCAGCCGCAUGGCUAGGAGUUGGAAAGAAUUUUGGUCAAGGAUGGACUCGCGGCCUAUCAGCUAGUUGGUGAGGUAAUGGCUCACCAAGGCGACGACGGGUAGCCGGCCUGAGAGGGUGACCGGCCACACUGGGACUGAGACACGGCCCAGACUCCUACGGGAGGCAGCAGUGGGGAAUAUUGCACAAUGGGCGAAAGCCUGAUGCAGCAACGCCGCGUGAGGGAUGACGGCCUUCGGGUUGUAAACCUCUUUUAGUAGGGAAGAAGCGAAAGUGACGGUACCUGCAGAAAAAGCACCGGCUAACUACGUGCCAGCAGCCGCGGUAAUACGUAGGGUGCAAGCGUUGUCCGGAAUUAUUGGGCGUAAAGAGCUCGUAGGCGGUUUGUCGCGUCUGCUGUGAAAUCUGGGGGCUCAACCCCCAGCCUGCAGUGGGUACGGGCAGACUAGAGUGCGGUAGGGGAGAUUGGAAUUCCUGGUGUAGCGGUGGAAUGCGCAGAUAUCAGGAGGAACACCGAUGGCGAAGGCAGAUCUCUGGGCCGUAACUGACGCUGAGGAGCGAAAGCGUGGGGAGCGAACAGGAUUAGAUACCCUGGUAGUCCACGCCGUAAACGUUGGGAACUAGAUGUGGGGGCCAUUCCACGGUCUCCGUGUCG
rnacentral:rRNA from 1 species